GAUCAUUACCGAGUUUUCGGGCUUCGGCUCGACUCUCCCACCCUUUGUGAACGUACCUCUGUUGCUUUGGCGGCUCCGGCCGCCAAAGGACCUCCAAACUCCAGUCAGUAAACGCAGACGUCUGAUAAACAAGUUAAUAAACUAAAACUUUCAACAACGGAUCUCUUGGUUCUGGCAUCGAUGAAGAACGCAGCGAAAUGCGAUAAGUAAUGUGAAUUGCAGAAUUCAGUGAAUCAUCGAAUCUUUGAACGCACAUUGCGCCCCUUGGUAUUCCGGGGGGCAUGCCUGUUCGAGCGUCAUUACAACCCUCAAGCUCUGCUUGGAAUUGGGCACCGUCCUCACUGCGGACGCGCCUCAAAGACCUCGGCGGUGGCUGUUCAGCCCUCAAGCGUAGUAGAAUACACCUCGCUUUGGAGUGGUUGGCGUCGCCCGCCGGACGAACCUUCUGAACUUUUCUCAAGGUUGACCUCGGAUCAGGUAGGGAUACCCGCUGAACUUAAGCAUAUCAAUAAGCGGAGGAAAAGAAACCAACAGGGAUUGCCUUAGUAACGGCGAGUGAAGCGGCAACAGCUCAAAUUUGAAAGCUGGCCCUUUUAGGGUCCGCGUUGUAAUUUGUAGAGGAUGAUUCGGCGAGGGCUCCUGCCUAAGUCCCCUGGAACGGGGCGUCAUAGAGGGUGAGAAUCCCGUAUGCGGUAGGUUGCCUUAGCCAUGUGAAUCUCCUUCGACGAGUCGAGUUGUUUGGGAAUGCAGCUCUAAAUGGGAGGUAAAUUUCUUCUAAAGCUAAAUACUGGCCAGAGACCGAUAGCGCACAAGUAGAGUGAUCGAAAGAUGAAAAGCACUUUGGAAAGAGAGUUAAAAAGUACGUGAAAUUGUUGAAAGGGAAGCGCUUGCAACCAGACUUGUCCGCAGUUGCUCAGCCGGUCUCCUGACCGGCGUACUCUUCUGCGGCCAGGCCAGCAUCAGUUCGGGCGGUCGGAUAAAGGCCUCGGGAAUGUAGCUCCUCUCGGGGAGUGUGAUAGCCCGGGGUGGAAUGCGACCAGCCUGGACUGAGGAUCUCGCU
rnacentral:rRNA from 1 species